UACGGAGGGUGCAAGCGUUAUCCGGAUUCACUGGGUUUAAAGGGUGCGUAGGUGGGCAGGUAAGUCAGUGGUGAAAUCUCUGGGCUUAACCCGGAAACUGCCGUUGAUACUAUCUGUCUUGAAUAUAGUGGAGGUGAGCGGAAUAUGUCAUGUAGCGGUGAAAUGCUUAGAUAUGACAUAGAACAUCGAUUGCGAAGGCGGCUCGCUACACUAUGAUUGACACUGAGGCACGAAAGCGUGGGGAUCAAACAGG
rnacentral:rRNA from 1 species